UUUAUGAUUAGAUUCAUCUAUAACUCGAAAUAUCAAUUCUACUACAAUAUGAAUAUUUAUAUAUUUAUUAUUCUAAUAUUUCACUAUCAUGAUCACAUACUACAACAAUAUAUGAUAUACUGAUACAAUGUAUGUAGUUAUAUUAUUUAUGUGUUUUGAAACUUGUCUAAAUUAAUUGUAACAAACAAUUCUUUAUUCCAUAUAUUCUCUCGUCAUCUAGUACACAAUCACAUCUUGAUAUGCUAGUAAUUUAAGUCAACAAUGUAAUUCUCAUCCCUACCAUAUAGUCAUAUAGAGUCUCAUGUUGUUAUUUUUUUGGUAUGUCUAAUGUCUUGUAUGACUAUUAAUUAGUUUUGAUUAUUGGUUUUAUUUUAUUUUUUUCUCAAUUAGUUUUGCUAGUUUUUUAAUUUAAUUAAUGUAGAAUGACAUAUGUCAUUUUCUUGUGUGAUGAUAUGUCACUCAUAUGGAGAGUGUUGGCCAACUUUCAUAUAUAUGAUUUAUAAAACGGCUGAUCAAAUACCUAAUUAAAGUAUUCAAAAAUGUGAAA
rnacentral:sRNA from 1 species